GGGCGUAAGCGCGCGCAGGUGGUUUCUUAAGUCUGAUGUGAAAGCCCCCCGCUCAACCGGGGAACUGCAUUGGAAACUGGCGAACUUGAGUGCGGAAGAGGGUGGUGGAAUUCCCUGUGUAGCGGUGAAAUGCGUAGAUAUGUGAAGGAACACCAGUGGCGAAGGCGACCUCUUGGACUGUAACUGACACUGAGGCGCGAAAGCGUGGGGAGCAAACAGGAUUAGAUACCCUGGUAGUCCACGCCGUAAACGAUGUCUGCUAGCCGUUGG
rnacentral:rRNA from 1 species